CGCCUAGAUGCUGAGUUGAAGCUGGUUGGUGAGUAUGGCCUCCGCUGCAAGCGUGAGCUGUGGCGCGUGCAGUAUGCCCUGAGCCGUAUCAGGAAUGCAGCCAGGGAGCUGCUCACCCUGGAUGAGAAGAACCCACGCCGUAUCUUUGAGGGCGAGGCACUCCUCCGCCGCAUGAACCGAUAUGGUCUCCUUGGCGAGGGACAGAACAAGCUUGAUUAUGUGCUUGCCCUCACUGUUGAGAACUUUCUCCAGCGCCGCCUCCAGACCAUCGUCUUCAAGAAUGGCAUGGCCAAGUCCAUCCACCAUGCUCGUGUUCUGAUCAGGUAGCGCCAUAUCAGGGUGGGGAGGCAGCCCGUCAACAUUCCCUCGUUCAUGGUCAGGGUCGAGUCAGAGAAGCACAUCGACUUCUCCCUCACCAGUCCUCUGGGUGGUGGUCCUGCUGGAAGGGUGAAGCGCAAGAACCAGAAGGCCUCUGGCGGCGGUGGCGGCGGCGAUGGCGAGGAGGACGACGAGUAGUGCUACGUAGGAUUCUGCGACAUCAAUUGGUUGAAAUGUGAGAUGGACACUCUAGAUUAUUGUGUGGUCUUCAAUUCAGAAAUCCUGCGAUGGUAAACAAUUUUGCAGCCCGCUACUGACACUCUUGUUUAAUUCAAGCAUUGGCAUCGUGUCCGGACACCAUGAAUUGUAUUCUUGUUUGCGUGGCUAUUUGCUCGUCUAGCCUUUAGGUCAAUGUUUAAGACUGAAUCAAAUUGGUAGCCAAGUUUGCAUUCUU